rnacentral:rRNA from 1 species
UGGGUAACCGUGCCUCAUACAGGGGGAGUAACAGUUAGAAAUGACUGCUAAUACCGCAUAAGCGCACGGAAGCGCAUGCUUCUGUGUGAAAAACUCCGGUGGUAUGAGAUGGACCUGCGUCUGAUUAGCUGGUUGGUGAGGUAACGGCCCACCAAGGCGACGAUCAGUAGCCGACCUGAGAGGGUGACCGGCCACAUUGGGACUGAGACGCGGCCCAAACUCCUACGGGAGGCAGCAUG